CUCUUCUGGAGCUUCCUCAACCCACUAUUGAUCCUGUUAUGUCGCGGUUCUAUUCUCCUCAGUUCAACACAAACUUCGACUUGUGCUUUACUGAGCUAUGCUCUCACUUGCACCUGGACCAACCUCUAUCUGACCUGGAUGCAGAUCAGCAUCUUAGCCUUUUGAAUUCUGCCUGGCUUAAAGUAGCAAACGUGACUGCUCCUCUUAAGGCUCACAAACCCAAACCAAAAUCAGAUAUGUGGCAAAAUUCUGACACUCGUCACCAAAGACAAAUAUGUAGAAAGGCCGAACGCAAAUGGAAAAGGGACAGGCUAAGUGUCUCCUUCCGCAUGUUCAAAGACUCUCUUACAGCAUACCAGAACACUGCUAAAUCAGCUAAAGCCGCUUACUUCUCAAACUUAAUUGAAUCCAAUCACUCUAACCCUAAGGUCUUGUUUUCUGUCAUUCAUUCUGUUUUAAACCCAUCUGCUAAAUUGUCUGUUGCCUCAGAUGCUCUAUGUGAAGACUUCCAGAGAUUUUUUAUUAACAAAAUCACUAAAUUAAGGAUCAGUAUCUGCCCUAAUUUAACUCUCCCCCCUAUUAUGCCGCGUACCUCCUGUGUUUGGGAGGCUUUUGUUCCCAUUAACCUCCAGACACUGAAGGAUGUGAGCGCCAAGCUCAAACCUUCAUUCUGCCCAAAUGAUAUCAUUCACCCGAGAUUUUUAAAAUUAAUCCUCAACUCGGUGGGUCCAGGUAUGGUAUCCCUUAUUAACAAGUGUCUAAGCACUGGCUCUGUUCUGGCCAAUCUUAAAGUGGCUACGGUCACUCCUCUGCUCAAGAAGCCUUCACUGGAUCCUUCUGUUUUAAAAAAUUACCGGCCCAUCUCUGUCCUACCUUUCAUUUCCAAGUUAUUAGAGAAAAUCGUGUUGGAUCAGUUCCAACACUUUUUGUCAAAUAACUGUAUAUAUGAGGUCUUUCAAUCUGGGUUUAGGACUGCCCACAGCACUGAGUCCGCUCUCCUGCGAGUGCUAAACAACAUUUAUCUCUCCACUGACUCUGGAGACACUGUGGUUCUAGUUCUCCUAGAUCUGUCCGCGGCUUUUGAUACCGUUGACCACCCUACUCUGUUAGCUAGACUGGAGACGUGGGUGGGCAUAAAAGGCUCUGUCCUGUCAUGGUUCCAGUCUUACCUUACUGACAGAAAGUUCUUAGUAAAGAUGGGAAACUUUUCCAGCUCCAUGGCACCUCUGAGAUGUGGUCUUCCACAGGGCUCUAUUUU
ensembl:lncRNA